rnacentral:rRNA from 1 species
UACGUAGGGACCGAGCGUUGUCCGGAAUCAUUGGGCGUAAAGAGCGUGUAGGCGGCUUGUUAAGUCUUGCGUGAAAUCUCGGGGCUCAACCCCGAGCGGUCGUGAGAAGCUGGCAGGCUAGAGUGCGGGAGAGGAGAGUGGAAUUCCUGGUGUAGCGGUGAAAUGCGCAGAUAUCAGGAAGAACACCCGUGGCGAAGGCGGCUCUCUGGAACGCAACUGACGCUGAGACGCGAAAGCGUGGGGAGCAAACAGG